CUCAGGGGAAUUUCUGGCUCUGCACAAGUCCCUGGCAGGAGGGGACAGCCGGGGGGAUUUGGGAUCUCCUCUUUGGCAUAAAAACUCCGAUGGUGACCAGGAGCAGGAAGGAUAAUGAGAGAACAGGAAACUAAAAUUCCUACAGACACAGCAGGAGGAAGAACCUUGGAAGAGUUAAAGCCCAUCUCAUUCCACCCUUGACACUUUGCACUGGAUCAGGUUGUCCAAGGCUCAUCCAACCUGCCUGGUGCCUCUUAAUGACAUUAAUUAAUUCAAAUAUCUCAUGACCUGGUUGGGCUAUAAUGCAGAUAUCCAGUAUCUGCUGGCUCUAAUUGAAGAGCAAUUGAUAAAAAUUACCUUUUACUCCACAAGUAAUGGACGAAAUCACAUUUUUGACCCUUUUGCACUUCAGAAUUUGAGGAGUUGACAGUUGUAAAGCAAUACCACAUAUUUAACAGGAACUUGCAAUUAAAAAAACAACACCCAAAAAUUAUUUCAAGGAAUUUCAAGCAAGGACUGAGCCCUUUAAUUUUGCUUGUGCUCAUCCUUUUGUAAAAGGCAGCAAAAAUUUCAAACCAGUGAACUAGAAAGUCCCAGUCAGGCCUAAAACUGAGGGUUUUAUACAAUGGUUUUUCUUUUCAGCAAUAUUAUUUUAAAAGAAAUGCAAACCCACUAUCUCUGCUUCGUGAGGUAUGAAGACAAAUAUUUUUGUUUGCUUAUUGCAAACUCUUCUCCUGGAAGAGUAACCAGACUGGAACUAUCUUUUGGGUGAUGUAAACACUUCUCCCAUGAGCAAACCCACUCAUUUGCCUUAAUUUAUUUAUUGACUUUCUGUAAUUCACAAUCCAUUUCCUCAAAGCAGCAUCAGCCAAUUUCACUCCUUAUUGAAAUAACCCUCUCUUAAUUGAUAAAUUCUAUUUUCGACACAUUUCCUGGUUCUAAUAUGGCAGUUUGGGAAAUCUGACUAAAUACAGCUUGUGUCUGAGGUUAGGAAGCCUCCAAAGCUUUCGUAUCCCAGACUUUCACAGCAUAAGCAAAAGCUGUCAAAAGCUGCCACUAGAAAAUCCCUUUAUUUAGAAUAUCUUGAGACAAACAUUUGACAAGAGUUUUCUUUCACUUCCCCAUGUGCCACUGCUGCUCAGUCAACCAGGAAAAAGAAAUCCCCUACAAAGCCUCCACUAAUGCAUAUUUAUUUAUUUUUGAAGGUUUUUUUUUCUCCCCCCCAUUACAUCUCAACUAAAACUUCCUUGAGCUUAAUCCUCUUGAGGAAGCCAGAAGACAGAUCAGCUUCCCUGGAGGCCUCCCAAGGCUGAUCCCUGACAGGAUUGGAGAACCAGGAUAUGGAAAUGCAGGAUCCAGGAUGUUCUCUAGCCUCAGCACAGCAUCCCCUCUGCUCAGGGCCUCCCACUUUUGUGGAAUUAGAACUUUUGGAGAGGCUUUUAUUAGAAAUACAAACAAGGAAAUGUGGUUCUUUUUUUUCCUCUCAGCCUCCAUGUUUCACCUCAGAUUUUCUCCCUCAAAGCAUUAUAAAAAUAACAAGGGGCCAGAAGCCUUUCAACAAGUUUUGUGUUGAAAAACAACAAAAUAUCACAAAAUACAAAGCCCCAGGUGGUUUUGCAAAGCACAUGAGAAGAUUUCAGUGACCUGUGUGCAUGUUUUGAAUCUAAGUGUGAGCAAGAAGCACAGAACUUCUCAAACAGAGCAAAACUUCAGCCUUUAGGGUUUAUUUAUUUUAAAAAUGUGACAUCAAAGCAAUUCCUUCCACCAAUUAUGCUGGAUACAGUCACAGAGCCUCUGUGUGGCAGAUGAUAAUAAUUCCCUGAUCUCUUACAAAUAAAAAUUCCUAAUCCCCUG